GCGGCACCUCCGUAGGUGAACCUGCGGAAGGAUCAUUACCGAGUGAGGGCCCUCUGGGUCCAACCUCCCACCCGUGUCUAUCGUACCUUGUUGCUUCGGCGGGCCCGCCGUUUCGACGGCCGCCGGGGAGGCCUUGCGCCCCCGGGCCCGCGCCCGCCGAAGACCCCAACAUGAACGCUGUUCUGAAAGUAUGCAGUCUGAGUUGAUUAUCGUAAUCAGUUAAAACUUUCAACAACGGAUCUCUUGGUUCCGGCAUCGAUGAAGAACGCAGCGAAAUGCGAUAAGUAAUGUGAAUUGCAGAAUUCAGUGAAUCAUCGAGUCUUUGAACGCACAUUGCGCCCCCUGAUUCCGGGGGGCAUGCCUGUCCGAGCGUCAUUGCUGCCCUCAAGCACGGCUUGUGUGUUGGGCCCCCGUCCCCCUCUCCCGGGGGACGGGCCCGAAAGGCAGCGGCGGCACCGCGUCCGGUCCUCGAGCGUAUGGGGCUUGUCACCUGCUCUGUAGGCCCGGCCGGCGCCAGCCGACACCCAACUUUAUUUUUCUAAGGUUGACCUCGGAUCAGGUAGGGAUACCCGCUGAACUUAAGCAUAUCGCGGCACCGCGGAGGAAAAGAAACCA
rnacentral:rRNA from 1 species